UACGGAGGGUGCAAGCGUUAUCCGGAUUCACUGGGUUUAAAGGGUGCGUAGGCGGGCAGGUAAGUCAGUGGUGAAAUCUCCGGGCUUAACCCGGAAACUGCCGUUGAUACUAUCUGUCUUGAAUAUCAUGGAGGUAAGCGGAAUAUGUCAUGUAGCGGUGAAAUGCUUAGAUAUGACAUAGAACACCCAUUGCGAAGGCAGCUUACUACACGAUCAUUGACGCUGAGGCACGAAAGCGUGGGGAGCAAACAGG
rnacentral:rRNA from 1 species